rnacentral:rRNA from 1 species
GACGAACGCUGGCGGCGUGCUUAACACAUGCAAGUCGAACGGUGAAGCGCUUUCCUUUUUGGUUGGUGUGGAUGAGUGGCGAACGGGUGAGUAACACGUGAGUAACCUGCCCCCUUCUUCUGGAUAACCGCAUGAAAGUGUGGCUAAUACGGGAUAUUCUGCGCCUGCUGCAUGGUGGGUGUGGGAAAGAUUGUGCCUUUGGGUGUUUUCGGUGGGGGAUGGGCUCGCGGCCUAUCAGCUUGUUGGUGGGGUGAUGGCCUACCAAGGCGGUGACGGGUAGCCGGCCUGAGAGGGGGGACGGUCACACUGGGACUGAGACACGGCCCAGACUCCUACGGGAGGCAGCAGUGGGGAAUAUUGCACAAGGGGCGCAAGCCUGAUGCAGCGACGCCGCGUGAGGGAGGGAGGCCUUCGGGUUGUGAACCUCUUUCGCCAGUGAAGCAGGCCUGCUCCUUGUGGGUGGGUUGACGGUAGCUGGAUAAGAAGCGCCGGCUAACUACGUG